CGCAAAAUCAGCAAACAAAACAAACCAAAACAGCACCGUUGCCGAAAUUGUAAAUAAAAAUUUGGGUCGAUUAAAAUAAACCAAUAAACUUCGCUACUAUAAGUUGUACAUUUGGGAAAUGUACGCCUGGGGUGCGAAUAGCCAUGGUCAAUUGGGACUCGGAUUUACCAGCGAGAUGUGCGAUAAGCCGCAACAGGUAGAAUCGAUUCCGCUGACGAUGAAACGAAUUGUGUGUAUCAGUGCUGGUGGUGGCCACACAUUAGUUCUCGACGGUGAGGGACAAUUAUUCGCAACUGGUUGGAACAAUCGAGGCCAGCUAGGUUUGGGACAUACGGAUGAUAUUCAUCUCUUAACUUGCGUUAAUCACCUGGGUUUCAAAUCGAUUACGACUGGAUGGGAUGUGUCGGGAGCAAUCAAUACACAGGGUGAACUAUAUCUGUGGGGUUCGAACGUGUGGCUGCAAAUUGCCGAUAGCAGUGUAAAAUAUUAUUCUAUGCCUACAAAAGUGCCAUUACCACCGGGACGAUACGCGCAGAAAGUUUGCUUUGGGUUGAGGCACACUUGCGUGCUGUUGGAAGACGGUAGUUUAUUUCUAUUUGGAAAAUCCAAGUGGUUAGCGCAGGAGAAACUUGAAAGUUUCACACACUGUGGAGUGCAAUUUUUUGUUCUGAAAGACGCUGACCGAAUAGCGGAUGUUGUAAGUGGCGAAAAUCACUUAGUUCUCAAACUGCAGCAUGAAGCAAUUGUCUGUCGAGGCGAUGACAAAUUUGGACAAUGCUUGAAGGGUCAAAAUGUUAAUGUUAGUCAAAGAGAGGUUGUUAAGUUACAAGCGGGUUGGUCGCAUUCGGGCUUUUCGACCGACAACGGUAAUGUUUACCUGUGGGGACGAAACAGUUACGGGCAGCUGGGCGUGGCAGUGGAUACAAGCUGUGAUGGACCAGUACUGUUGGGCAUAGAGAGCAAGGUGAUCGAUUUCUGCCUUGGUUCACAGCACGGGAUUGCUCUGGCAGAGGAUGGUCUCUACACAUGGGGCUGGAACGAGCACGGGAAUUGCGGUACUGGAGGUGUUGAAAAUGUAUGGACACCAACUAAACUAUCGGAGCUGAAGAAAUGCGACAAAGUUUCAACGGGUGCCGCUUUUUGUUUUGCAUGGAAAACAGGGAUGGUAUAGUUCUAAAUUACAAUAGGCAAGAAACUGGAAAAGGCAUUUUGAUGUAACUGGUAUUGGAUUUGUUUGGUUUUUCUGAUGUCAUUUUUCAUUUGUGAACAUUUUAUUGCUUCUGAUCUACAUGAUCAAUGAAGAAUAGCGUUUCUCUAAUUACAUUAUUAGUGCGCUCUGCAGGUAUACGAAUUUUUUAACUGUUUACCUGUAUCAAGAGAGCGGUACGUAUUUGCCAACCAACAAUCAGUUUGCCUUAAUAGGUGCUCCAGUAAACAUCUAGCUCAGUUAAUAGAUUGUACUAUAUCGCGUUGUGGCUGGCUGCUUGCAUUAUUCUAGGAAAAGUUAUACAGUCUAGGAUGGCUACGACUUUCGUUAGUGAACCCUCGUACUACAGUGCUGAUUUGAAGUGUUACUUACCAUCAGUAAACCGUACUUCUCGACCACUCUAUAGGUUUAGUAACCGUGAACAAAAUAUGAUUGUCGAUCAGGCGAUGCCUACUCCAGACUUGAAUGCUCGAAUGACAGAUAUUCGGCAAAUAGAGGAAAAUAUUCGUAUUGAAAGUUUCUUGUUGAUGCAAAACAAUAAUGUUCCUAUGGGUCGUAGUUCAACUCCAAGUCCAGCUUACUGUUUCCAUUGUGAUCAUCGGCAUCGAGAAAAAUGUUGUUUAUACAUAGGCGACAAUGAAGAAGAUAUCAAUCGGUACUCUGCGUGGAAACAAGAUUUGGAACAAUCUUGUGAUAAGCCGCAGCAUACAUCACGGAUUCCAGAUGCAAUUUCUGGUAAUACCACACCUUACUGGUUUCCGCAAUUUACAUAUACCAAUCCGUAUAAAAAGGAAGAGCCAAAAAAGAAGGAACCAUCGAGGGCAAAACAGUUUUAUCAUCCUUUAUUGAGCUACAGUAUGUCGAAAGGACCGUUUGAUUAUCCUAAAACAACAGCUACGCCAUACCAACAAUAUAUGAUGCAUCUUCGAGACAUGAACAAGCAAUUUACUUUAGAUGCUGGUGAUCAGUUUGACCAAGUAAAGAAGCCAGAACGCAACGCGAAACAGUUUCAUUAUCCUUUAUUGAGCUACAGUUUGCCGAAACGUCCAUUUGAGUAUCCCAAAACAACAGCUACUCCAUACCAGCAAUACAUGAUGUACCUCCGAGAGAUGAAUGCACAAUUUCCGCUAGAUACUGGAAACCAGUUUGACCAAAUUCAUCAUACUCAGCCGGCCGAACCAUACAAAGGUGUACAGUUUAUUCAGCAAUUUCAUACGUAUCACGUCUACAAUGGUCCGGUGUACGUUCAACAUCAUAACCAAACGCCUUUUUAUAACGAUCAUCACCAUUACUACCAGCGAUAUCAACAGGAACAGCAACAACAGUAUAUGUAUAACGAGCAAUUGCAAUCACCACACGCGUUAGCACACAACCAACAUCUAUUCCGAUAUCCGCAAAGUGUGGCACCAACUGUUCAGCCUCAUUCGUCGGGACAUUCGUUCCCACUGUGGAUGCUUUUCUAUCAAAAGAAAUCACUGAAUGACGAAGUACAUGUGCCAAGACCGGCUGUCUGUCCUGUCUCCAGUGGUGUCACGCAGCCUCUAGGACUGUAUAAUGGUUUCGGGUGCACCAAUGUGCCAAUGGAUGUCGACGAGCAGACGCAACAUCGGGGAUAUCACGCGCCCGCUCAGAUGCAGUAUUUUGUGUAGUGAUUCAUAGUUGAGCCUCUCCUAAAUGGCACCGGAAAAGGAUAGGCGACAUCGUUCACGCAGAGAAAAGACAAAACCGUUAGAUUCGUUCAUCGUAGCUCACAGUGUACAUAUCUAGUAGAUGGUGGAGGAUCACAGCACAAAAUAUAAAUUGUAAUAUAAGUGUACAUAAGCAAGAAAUAUAACAGCAGCAGUAACGAUACAAUGCAAUACAGAAAUCAACAUUUCGCAGAACCAAUUUGGUUUCAAGAGUGUAAAUAUAUUAAUGAAACAAGACA